rnacentral:rRNA from 1 species
UACGUAGGGGGCAAGCGUUGUCCGGAUUUAUUGGGCGUAAAGAGCGUGUAGGCGGACAUUUAAGUCAGAUGUGAAAUACCCGAGCUUAACUUGGGUGCUGCAUUUGAAACUGGGUGUCUAGAGUGCAGGAGAGGUAAGUGGAAUUCCUAGUGUAGCGGUGAAAUGCGUAGAGAUUAGGAAGAACACCAGUGGCGAAGGCGACUUACUGGACUGUAACUGACGCUGAGGCAUGAAAGCGUGGGGAGCAAACAGG